rnacentral:lncRNA from 1 species
GGAAGCCAUUACUGUAACCCAGGGCCUGGGCUAGAUGGAGUGGAUGGGACACAUAUGGAGGAUGUCUAUGAGGAAGAAGCCACAGAAUUUGGCAACUGAUUAAAUCUUUUCCUAUCUGGUCAGGGCAAGGGGAAGCAUGGGUGAAAAAAGAAAAGUUUUAAGUUUGGACUUUGUAAAUGAUGAAAACCCAACAUGGCUCAUUAUAAAGAAAAAAAAGGAAAAUGUAUUUGCAAAGUCAGAUGAUGAACCUAACUUUGGGAAAGACAGAGAUACAGCCAGGUAGGGACAACGAAUCAGGGCCUCAGGUGUCAUUCUUCCUCCAUAUCCCCUUUCUGAAUGUGGCUUUUUUCUUCUCUGCGGUAGAGACUCUCUCCAAGCUUGAGGGUCAUGGCCAUAGUUGGUUCAGGAGGUGUGUUCUUCUAGCUGAGGAACUCAAGAAGAAUGGGAUCUUCUCCUGGGCCAGUCUGAAGGUUUCCAGAGAGGAAUUGAUGGGCUGGGGCCAAAUAUCCACCAAUUGCACUAGUCACUGGACCUGGCAAUGAGGUGGAUUUCUUCAGUAAAUGGCAAUUGAUUGGUAAGAGGUGUGUUCACGAGGUGGAAGGAGCACUGUGUAAGAAGGAAAUUGGGAUGUUAGUUCUGAUCACCCUCUCUCCCCUCCCUGCCUCUGUCCCCAUUGCCCACGUAAGCCUGUGC